GACGAACGCUGGCGGCGUGCUUAACACAUGCAAGUCGAACGGAAAGGCCCUGCUUUUGUGGGGUGCUCGAGUGGCGAACGGGUGAGUAACACGGGAGUAACCUGCCCUUGACUUUGGGAUAACUUCAGGAAACUGGGGCUAAUACCGGAUAGGAGCUCCUGCUGCAGGGUGGGGGUUGGAAAGUUUCGGCGGUUGGGGAUGGACUCGCGGCUUAUCAGCUUGUUGGUGGGGUAGUGGCUUACCUAGGCUUUGACGGGUAGCCGGCCUGAGAGGGUGACCGGCCACAUUGGGACUGAGAUACGGCCCAGACUCCUACGGGAGGCAGCAGUGGGGAAUAUUGCACAAUGGGCGGAAGCCUGAUGCAGCAACGCCGCGUGCGGGAUGACGGCCUUCGGGUUGUAAACCGCUUUCGCCUGUGACGAAGCGUGAGUGACGGUAAUGGGUAAAGAAGCACCGGCUAACUACGUG
rnacentral:rRNA from 1 species